AUCAAAUCAAAUAUCACACAGAAAAAAUGUCCAUCCAGUCCUGCUUGACAAACUUGUUGUGUACAGGGCCAGAGGCUUCCAUUUCUGGUGGAACUACCAGCUACUGAACUUUAAUCUGCCUUUCAAAGACCAUUCUGAACUGCUACUCUCCAACACAGCAGCGGACCACAGCUUUAAGCCCUUUACUUCUCCCUCAGUUCUCAGCUGGGGGUGCCAACACCUGCGGAUAUCUCCAGGCAGUACUGCACUUGCACAACAAAAUGCACUUGUAACGGGAUGGCAGCACAGUUUCAUAAUACGAGAACUACAGAGUAAAAACUUAACAGACUUGGAUGGGAACAGCAGUAUUGCUGUUGGAUGCUGUACAUGAUGCAGGGCUACAGGUUAAACAUUGUAUAACAAUGACUCAUUACAUCUUUAUAAAUGUCUUUCCAACUUAUGGAAACCUGUGUACUGUAUACUGUUUAAUGUGUGCUGUGCAAGCUGGCUGAGAACAAUAAAACAUACCUGAUUUCAACACAACAUGAUUCAGCCCAUUUAGGCACAGGUAUACACACACUGUGUACUGUAUUUUUCUUUCUUCAAGGAUCAACACAUUUUAACACAAAAAACUGAAUUGGCAUGACAUGCCAUGGCUUCAAUUCAAUUGUACAAAUAGAUUAUAUAUUUUGACACUAUUGGUAAAUCCCAACUUCUUGAAACAAAAUGUAAUGUAAUUAUGAAAAUGCAUAAAUUAUUGGUUGCAUUAAAAAACAACAAGUAUAAAACCCUCUUUAUGAUGUGGAUAUGACUGAUGUAUGGAAGCAGACUUAUAAAUAGACAUGGUUAUAUUUGUGCGGUCUAUGGCACAGACUUCCAUCUUGUCUAAUCGAGCACACAGGAGUCAAUACUAAGUGGAAGAGUGACCUUUUCCCUAGAGAUAGUUGUUUCCAGUGCCAUAGUCCUGCUGGGUGCUUGGUCUGAUUCUUCCCAGCCCACGCCCCCCCCCCCCCCCCCAAAUACACACACAAGCCUGGGUUCCUUAGACCCAGCAAAGAGGGGGAUAGAGGAAGGGAGAGAGAGGAAGCCAGAGAGAAGAAGAGAAACAGAGAGGGACAGAGAAAGAAGGAGGGGGCAAGAAACAAAGGGAGAAAAAAGGAAAGAGAAUAGGACAGAUUAGCUGUUGUUUAGCUUGCUUUGUUUGUUUUUCCAUUUGUGUUGUUUGCAUGGUUGUUGACCUCAUUAAUGAGGUAUUGUUAUGUAUAGAAGUUACUGUGUAUAGCUGCGUGUACACAGAUUUUAAAAAAGAAUUGUCAUAGUAUAGUACUAUCAAAUCCCAUCCACACGCCAAAGAUGGCUGAUAAUGAUUGUAGUAUUUCCAUUUAUUAAAUACAAUUUUAAUUAAUUAUUGUUUAAUUGGGUACUGUAUGUGAAAAUACAGUUAAUGCCAAAUCUAUGUGAUUAAAUACAAUGUGUUUGGGAUUCUGCCAGUUGUCUGCCAUCUUUGUGUGGAUUUUUAAAAAUGUGGUGUUUUCCUUUGCAGGUUAAUAGAAUGUCUAUUGCCGGUAGACCUGCAGGUGGUGGAAGGGCAGACCCAAGCCAGGAAAGCUGUGUGUGCCUCAAGCACCAAUUCUUUAUCAGCCUCUCUGAGUUUAUAAAUAAAAGAGUUUCACCCUC